GACGAACGCUGGCGGCGUGCUUAACACAUGCAAGUCGAACGAAGAGCGAUGGAAGCUUGCUUCUAUCAAUCUUAGUGGCGAACGGGUGAGUAACGCGUAAUCAACCUGCCCUUCAGAGGGGGACAACAGUUGGAAACGACUGCUAAUACCGCAUACGAUCCAACCUCGGCAUCGAGGAUGGAUGAAAGGUGGCCUCUAUUUAUAAGCUAUCACUGAAGGAGGGGAUUGCGUCUGAUUAGCUAGUUGGAGGGGUAACGGCCCACCAAGGCAAUGAUCAGUAGCCGGUCUGAGAGGAUGAACGGCCACAUUGGGACUGAGACACGGCCCAGACUCCUACGGGAGGCAGCAGUGGGGAAUCUUCCGCAAUGGACGAAAGUCUGACGGAGCAACGCCGCGUGAGUGAUGACGGCCUUCGGGUUGUAAAGCUCUGUUAAUCGGGACGAAAGGUCCUCUUGCGAAUAGUUAGAGGAAUUGACGGUACCGGAAUAGAAAGCCACGGCUAACUACGUGC
rnacentral:rRNA from 3 species